UUUCUUGUGGCUCAGUUGGUAGAGCAUUGUGCUAAAAACGCAAAGGUCGAGGGGUUCAAAUCCCAGGGAAU